AGAGUUUGAUCAUGGCUCAGAUUGAACGCUGGCGGCAGGCCUAACACAUGCAAGUCGAACGGUAACAGGAAGCAGCUUGCUGCUUUGCUGACGAGUGGCGGACGGGUGAGUAAUGUCUGGGAAACUGCCUGAUGGAGGGGGAUAACUACUGGAAACGGUGGCUAAUACCGCAUAACGUCGCAAGACCAAAGAGGGGGACCUUCGGGCCUCUUGCCAUCAGAUGUGCCCAGAUGGGAUUAGCUUGUUGGUGAGGUAACGGCUCACCAAGGCGACGAUCCCUAGCUGGUCUGAGAGGAUGACCAGCCACACUGGAACUGAGACACGGUCCAGACUCCUACGGGAGGCAGCAGUGGGGAAUAUUGCACAAUGGGCGCAAGCCUGAUGCAGCCAUGCCGCGUGUAUGAAGAAGGCCUUCGGGUUGUAAAGUACUUUCAGCGGGGAGGAAGGUGUUGUGGUUAAUAACCGCAGCAAUUGACGUUACCCGCAGAAGAAGCACCGGCUAACUCCGUGCCAGCAGCCGCGGUAAUACGGAGGGUGCAAGCGUUAAUCGGAAUUACUGGGCGUAAAGCGCACGCAGGCGGUCUGUCAAGUCGGAUGUGAAAUCCCCGGGCUCAACCUGGGAACUGCAUUCGAAACUGGCAGGCUUGAGUCUUGUAGAGGGGGGUAGAAUUCCAGGUGUAGCGGUGAAAUGCGUAGAGAUCUGGAGGAAUACCGGUGGCGAAGGCGGCCCCCUGGACAAAGACUGACGCUCAGGUGCGAAAGCGUGGGGAGCAAACAGGAUUAGAUACCCUGGUAGUCCACGCCGUAAACGAUGUCUACUUGGAGGUUGUGCCCUUGAGGCGUGGCUUCCGGAGCUAACGCGUUAAGUAGACCGCCUGGGGAGUACGGCCGCAAGGUUAAAACUCAAAUGAAUUGACGGGGGCCCGCACAAGCGGUGGAGCAUGUGGUUUAAUUCGAUGCAACGCGAAGAACCUUACCUGGUCUUGACAUCCACAGAACUUUCCAGAGAUGGAUUGGUGCCUUCGGGAACUGUGAGACAGGUGCUGCAUGGCUGUCGUCAGCUCGUGUUGUGAAAUGUUGGGUUAAGUCCCGCAACGAGCGCAACCCUUAUCCUUUGUUGCCAGCGGUCCGGCCGGGAACUCAAAGGAGACUGCCAGUGAUAAACUGGAGGAAGGUGGGGAUGACGUCAAGUCAUCAUGGCCCUUACGACCAGGGCUACACACGUGCUACAAUGGCGCAUACAAAGAGAAGCGACCUCGCGAGAGUAAGCGGACCUCAUAAAGUGCGUCGUAGUCCGGAUUGGAGUCUGCAACUCGACUCCAUGAAGUCGGAAUCGCUAGUAAUCGUGGAUCAGAAUGCCACGGUGAAUACGUUCCCGGGCCUUGUACACACCGCCCGUCACACCAUGGGAGUGGGUUGCAAAAGAAGUAGGUAGCUUAACCUUCGGGAGGGCGCUUACCACUUUGUGAUUCAUGACUGGGGUGAAGUCGUAACAAGGUAACCGUAGGGGAACCUGCGGUUGGAUCACCU
rnacentral:rRNA from 1 species